CUGCAUCCUCAGCCUCCUUCCUGGGUCCCAGUGAACGUGUGGGCUGUGUGCUGUCACGCUUUUGGUCGCAGUCAUCCUCGGGGGCGUGUCUGCAUAGUCCUUUCUGGGUGGAAGCCGUGUGAUGUGUGGUGCUUGAGUUUGCGCAGACAAGCCAGACUCUUCCGUAAAUUCAGCUCGUUCUCAGACCUAGGAUGGAAGACUCAGCACCGGUGGGAAGCCAGGGUCAGCUCCCAAGCCCCCACCACGGCUCACUGAGGAGGGCGGUGGCUGCUGUCCUGGCCCUGGAUGGGGAAUCCACAUUGGGCCGUAGGAAGAAGAGGAGGAAAGACUCUCGCCCAGAAUC
rnacentral:lncRNA from 1 species